rnacentral:tRNA from 1 species
GAGUUGGUAGCUCAGUUGGUAGAGCAUUCGGCUUUUAACCGAUCGGUACUGGGUUCGAAUCCCAGUCAACUCA